rnacentral:lncRNA from 1 species
UUUAGUGAAAUAAAUAUGUUAAUUUGUUAAACUAUUUAUUAGUAUAUGGACUUUACCGGACCAUUAUCAGUAGUAAACAGCUCAGUUUAUUACUUAUUUGUUUUUAAUAAUAGAGCUUUCAAAUUGACAAUUGGCACUGUUAAAUAUGAUCUAGACUAUUUAAACUAUCUAGAAAUUAAAUUUUAUAUUUUUUUUCGACAUCACUAACCCAACGUCAAAGGGUUAUAAAAUUUAUAAUUUUAAUGACUGAUAUGUUGCGUUUGCUCGUUUAACGGUAUAGAAGAGUUUAAAUCAGUUCAAUUUUUGUCAAAAUUCUUUUAACUAUUUAAAACAAAAUCUAGAUUUUAGAUCUUUAAAUACAAAAGUUGUAUCAUCAACUUUUGAAGAAUAUUUAUUUUUAGACAUUCAUUUCAUGUCAUUUAUUGGACAAGAGAACAAUAUCAAAAAGCAUAAAAUUGAUUUUCAAAUAGUUUUAAAAGGCAAUUGUUUAUAUACACCUAAAAAGCUUCCGACUUUUUGAUUUACCACUCUUAUAAAAUUACUAUUAAAAAUAUUAUUUUUACAUUCCAAAUUAUUUCAAAUAUACUGCUAUAGUUAAAUUCUAUUUGUAAAUUGUUAGCAAUAAUUGUUAUCUCUAUGAAAUUACAAUUUUACUAUUUCAAAUAUACCCUUCUACCAUCACCAACUUUUUUUAUUUGCCCUUACGUUAGAAAUAAAAGAAGUAUUUUAAUUUUUGGCAUUUUCAAAUAUUCCCUUUUACCAUCACCAACUUUUGUCAUUUACCUUUAAGUUAAGGGCAAAAUAGGUAUUUUAAUUUUUUUUUUUUUAACUCUAGUAGAUAUUUAACUUAUAUUCAAUCCGAGAUAACCUAACGGGUGGUAACUGCCAGAAUAUUUUUGAAUAACGAAGAAACAUAUGAUGCGUAUAUUAAAAAUAAAAAAAUAGGGAUAAAUCAGACAUUUUUAAAUUUUUGAAGGGUAUAUAGACAAUUAUCCCUAAUUUAAAUGGUCUAGAUCACGGCAUCGUCGAUUUGAAAAUUUUAUCAUCCAAAUAAAUCGGUAAUAAAUUAAGCUGUUUAUUACUAACAAUAUUAUAAUAAAGAGACAACUUCAAAUACCAACUCUAUAGUUUCACAUUUUUUCACUUUAGUACCAUGUGGUAUAAAGUGUAUCAAUUUAGUGCGAUGUGGUUUCAUUUUUAUCCUUUUAUUAUCGAUUCCACUAAUUUUUUAGUUAAAUCAGUGACAAAGUUAAAACUAAAGGGUAUUAAACUGAAUAUUCGAUAAACUUAAGGUUGGAUAUUUGAAAUUUUUUUUGUAUAUAAUUUAAUAAAAUGGUUAAAAUAGACAAAAUUCCCAUGUUAAAAUCCGAUUUUUCACUUUCUCCCCUUGUCAUAUAAAAACCUACACUUUGUCCCCUUGUAAAAUAAAAAUUAUUCACUUCGCCCCCUGCCGUUAGUAAUCCUUUAGGGUCCCAUUUAUAAAAUAUUGUUAUAUAUUUUUUUAUGCCAAAAAUACUCUCAGUCUUCUCUCCUGUGAAUAUGGUGAAGGGCAAAAUGGUGAGGGGUAAAAUGGUCAUUUUAUUAUCACAGUUCACACCAUACCCCUCUGUGAACAUUUUUCAUUUUACAAGGGGACAAAGUGUAAGUUUUUAAAUGACAGAAGAGGAAAGUGAAAAAUCAGGUAUUUAGCCUAAUAAAAUAUUAACGAAAAAGCUAAUAAAAAAAUAAAAAUGAAACCACAAAAUACUAACUUGAUACAUUUUAAAACAUAAUAUAGUAAAAUGAAAAAGUACAAAACCACAGGGUGGUAUUUGAAGUUUAUCCGAUAAUAAACU